AGUAUUCAUGUCAAACUAUCAAGACCAAACUGAAUCUGAUUCGUAGAUAACUUGAAUGUUUUCACUGAUUGUUAUGGGUGGAGCUUUGAAGGAGCUCACAAAAAUCUCACAAUUCUGUCUGCAGUUUUCAUUUGUGCUUCAAGAUGAUGCUCCUGUGUAGUCUGCUUGUGUUUGCAGUGACACAAUAUACAUUUGCGCAGUCAAUAAGACCAUUGCAGAAUAAUGUUCAUGUCACUGAGGAGGAGCCGGUCACUCUCUCAUGCAAAUAUAAUGGCAGUGCAAACAGUCUGCAUUGGUAUCGACAAUAUCCUGGAUCCAGACCUGAAUUUGUGCUCCUCCUCAUGGAGUCACAAACGAAACAUAUAACAUAUGCAGUUCCCCGUAUUCCUGGAAUGGAUGGGAAAAUGAGUAUAAAGGAUAAACAAGUGGAUCUGGAGAUCUCCUCUGCUGCAGUAUCAGACUCUGCUCUGUAUUUCUGCGCCCUGGAGCCCACAGUCACAGGAAACACAAGAACACUGUACAAAAACCUCUAUUAAGAGAAACAACAUAUCUGUCUUUUGUCAUAGAUAUGUGAUUUAAGUUUGCAGAUUGAGCAGAUUAAAUUGAUUGAACUGAUUUCCAUAAAUAAGAAAAGAUUAAAAAUAGCUUUAGAAAUAAUGUACAA